rnacentral:snoRNA from 1 species
AAGACUAUAUUUUAGGAAGUACGUGUCGUGUAGUUCGUUAUUAGUAAAAGGUUUUUUUUUUUGAAUGUGCGGAAUACCGGUAAGCCACGAGAAAAAACGUAGUGUUUUUUGCUGAGUGUAAAACUGACUUUUGGCAGCUACCUUAGUGUUAACUGCUGACUGUCAUUGACGACCGUCCUUUACGACUGUUUGGAGGGUAAGAGGGGAAAAAACGCCAUCUGAAUGGU